rnacentral:rRNA from 1 species
AUGGUCCAUUGUUUAUCCGGGAACAGGAGAGGAUCCAAAAUCUGCAACGACGUCGAGGCUUUGUGGAUGCUUCGAAUGAAAAGAGCGUCAUUUGCCAGGCUUGUCGAGACCUUUAGGAGCAGGGGGCUGCUACAAGAUAACAUCAACACCGGUGUGGAAGAGCAAGUGGUCAUGUUUCUCCAUGUUGUUGGCCAUAACCAAAGGUUCAGGGUCAUUCACAACAUGUUCAGGAGAUCAAUGGAGACCAUCUCUAGGUACUUCAAGCAGGUGCUUUUUGCUAUGGGGAGCUUAGAGGCGACAUGA